AAGGCAACACAAGAACCGAAAGCAGAGGAGGAAGAAAGAAAGAAACAAGAAACAAGAAAGAAAAAGAUUUAGUCUUUCGAUUUCGACUCCGACUUCGGUGUACGUUGGAAGAGAUUUGGGUGAAAUUGCGAAAGAUAGGGAGUGUCGAUAAGAGGUAUGCAUAGCACAUCCGAGACAGGGGACGUCUCGGGAUAUAGAAAGACGGGCUGACCUUAACACUGUAUUGUGGAGCCCGAAGUAAGAGGUGACGACCUCAUGAUGCAAGGUGGCGGUAGCAUUUCCAGUAUGUGCCAACUGGAAGUGUUACAAGUGGGGUGAGUUAAUGUGAAUGUGGGUGAAAAUAAUGGGAGUGUGAAAAAUAAUUGAGUGGAAGA